rnacentral:lncRNA from 1 species
AUGAUAGUAUGGUAUAGAUAUAAUUCUGUAUCUUCUUCCAUCCAACACUAGUUUUAAUAAUUGGUUAUGUUGUUAGGUAUUUUCCCAAUUUAUUGUUUGUAAUUGUUUCAACUACAAUGUUUUAUUUAUUUAUUCCCUUUCUACGAAUCUCUGGCUUGCUUCUAAUUCCUUAUUCCUGUGGACCUGUGUGAGAAUCCCAGCUUUCAUACCACCUGGAGAUGGAGAUGUCUGUAGACAGAGGCAUUGCAAGUUGCCUUGAGCCCCUUCAAUUCUCUUCAUCAGAUCAGGAGAAACAAGGAGGAGAUCUAACCCAAUUCAAAAGAGAAGAGGAAGGAGGCCCAUAAAGGAGACUCUAAAAUUAGAGAUUUCACUCCUAUCUACAAAG